rnacentral:rRNA from 1 species
UACGUAGGGGGCGAGCGUUGUCCGGAUUUAUUGGGCGUAAAGAGCGUGUAGGCGGUUCGGUAAGUCUGUCGUGAAAUCCUGAGGCUCAACCUCGGGCGUGCGAUGGAUACUGCCGGGCUAGAGGGUGGUAGAGGCGAGUGGAAUUCCCGGUGUAGCGGUGAAAUGCGCAGAUAUCGGGAGGAACACCAGUAGCGAAGGCGGCUCGCUGGGCCACA